GAGUCGGAAUCUGUUUGGAGAGGCCUCAAGUUUUCUCCGUGUUGCGGACAACAAUGGACACCCAGAAGGACGUUCAACCCCCAAAGCAGCAGCCAAUGAUAUAUAUCUGUGGAGAAUGUCACACAGAAAAUGAAAUAAAAUCAAGGGAUCCAAUCCGAUGCAGAGAAUGUGGAUACAGAAUAAUGUACAAGAAAAGGACUAAAAGAUUGGUGGGUUUUGAUGCUCAGUGAAACAUGAAAUUCAGAGGAAUAUCUUCAUUUUUAUUUGGAUUUGUUGUUAAUGUUGUAUAGUUUUUGAUUAGUGUACUUUAUAAAUACAAUUAUACACAUAUGAUUUCAUUUUAAAAAACCAUAUUGUAUUUAGAUACCUAUUAAUAGCUUAUAUAAAGAUAUUUUUUGUUCAGUUA